GCUCCAGGACUUCUGGCUCAUUUUACGCACCGCCACUUCAAAUGCUUCACCCAGUAUAAUUAAAUAUAAAAGUGGAGUUAAACUUUGGAAUAUAUACAAAUUGAUAUAAAGAAAUGUAUAUUUAUAAAAUCGGUUGUGUUGUAUGGUUUUUUUUAAAAAAAACAUACAUCCACCUAAAUUAGUAUGUUUCGUUUAUCUGACUCGAUUUGAAAAGAAAAAAACCGGACCAUGCACGCGCACAAAAUUCCACUUUUUGCCCACUAAAGUAGAUGAGGUUACCUUCUGGACUACGACACUCACCUAAUGAGCUCCUGAUCCAGGAAGUGCCAAGGUGAAUAUCCUCCAUCUCCCAUCUGUCGCAGGCCUAUAAAGGCCUGGUCCAUUCCUGCGGCUCCCUGCACCCGAUUUUCAGCAGUGCAGCUACAUGAUGUCAUGUGCAACGGUAAAGGUCUUGCUAUGACAUGGAAGCAUUCAAGGUGUGACAUCCCCCCCUCCCAGGAAAUAGGCUCUACUUCACCAGGAUUAGCUGAAAAUGGGCACGGCAGUGUCAGCCUCCGUUGGGACUGAGUGUCCCUGGGCAAUUACAUGUAUGCUGGUAACAGAAAAAAAAAUACAGAUUUCAGUACGUUAAGAAAAGAAAGAAAAUCGACUGCUUUGAAAUAUGGUUUCAUUGAAAUAAAAUGUUGUCACCGACAUAAGUAAUUCUGCAGUUACAAUUUAGUUAGCAUUAUAAGAUAUUAUUCGUCUUUA